UACGAAGGGAGCGAGCGUUGUUCGGAAUCACUGGGCUUAAAGCGUGCGUAGGUGGAUUGGUAAGUAAGGGGUGAAAUCCCAGGGCUUAACCCUGGAACUGCUCUUUAGACUGCCUGUCUGGAAUUCGGAAGAGGUUGGUGGAACUCCCAGUGUAGAGGUGAAAUUCGCAGAUAUUGGGAAGAACACCGGUGGCGAAGGCGACCAACUGGUCCGACAUUGACACUGAGGCACGAAAGCGUGGGUAGCAAACAGG
rnacentral:rRNA from 1 species